CAUUCCAGGAGAGCAAAAAUUUAAGAUGUUACCUGAAGGAAUUUCUGGAGCCCUACUCUAAACCCAAUCCUGAAGAUGUCACAGAAGGGAGAAAGAAAAUGGUGGGUCUAAGAAAAUAUUGGAAAAACUGAAAAGUCCCUGGAGAGACAGAAGUUGGCUCCGUUCUGAGUCCUAGCUGAAGCAACAACCAACUAGAAAAUGCAUUAGAAAUCCAGGCAUCAUCCAGAAGAGUAUUAAAAAAUCUAAGGAAGACAUUGGAGAAUUCGUAUGCUAUUUUAGCUGGCUCUGUGAUUGCAAUCACACAAAUCACUCCAUUCCAGAGAGAUUUCACGAACAGGAGGUUUUUCCAUUUCAGCCUUUCAAGG